UGGCUGCCAGAUGUUAGACACCACGGCCAUGAGAAGGGCGAGAAGCCUGCGAGGCGUAUGCAGAUGCCGUGGCUCCACGUAACAGAUGGACCUUGGCGUGCCCACAACUACCAGCGCGGUGCCCACACGGUGCCUACGCUGAGCGAUGCUCCGUGCCAGCCGGACACAUCUUGUCUGAGGCGACAGGAACAUCAGACGCGACAGAUGGCUCAUAAAUCAUUGAUGUGCAUGCGCAGUGACAACAGGAGUCUUUCCUCUGGAGAGAGCCUGCGGUGAGACAGACACCAGGAGAGAGAAGAAGUGAGAGUAAAAGUGAGCCAUGAAAGGGGAGAAAGGGACAGGGAAAGAAAGACAGAUUAGGAGAGGAAGAAAGAUGGGGAGAAAGGGAGACUGCUGAGAGCAGAGGAAAACACAGAGGCAGCACACUAUAUUUAUACUGAAUGGAUUAUUUCUGUCCUGGUUGUUUUUAUUUAACCAAAUGUCAAACAUCCUCAAAGUGGCUAAACUGACCAAAUAAUUUGUUUAUUGGAGAAAUGCUUAAAUUAAAUCCUUGAGUGUCCUAGUCUAAGCCUGGACUUGAAUCCGAUUGAACAUCUGUGAAGAAACCUGAAAAUCGUAGUUCAUCAACACUUCGCAUUCAGUCUGACAGAGCUUGGGAGGAUCUGCAAAGCAGAAUGGGAGAAACUGACCAAAUCCAGGUUGGCAAAGCUAAGAUUACACAAGAAGAGUCAAAUCUGUCAUACCCAAGAAGAGUGAAAGCUGUCAUAUCCAAGAAGAGUGAAAGCUGUCAGACCCAAGAAGAGUCAAAGCUGUGAUUGGUGCCAAAGGCAUUACUACUAAGAACUGAAUAAAGGAUCUGAAUUCUUACUAUGUACUGAAGAUAUUUUAGAUUUUUAUUUUCAAUACAUUUGAACAAAAUAAUACAGUGCAAUGUUAAUGUAAGCAUAUCAUGCAACUCGGCAAAACACUCCAAACCAACUCAUGUGACAUGAAAAUCUUAUUUUGUGUAAAGUCACAGCUUUGCAUUUCUUUUUUUUAUUUGAUCCCACUGACCCAGGAAUAGUAUUUUUGGCAUUGUUGUAAAUGGAAUAGUGGAUUUAUGGCACAGUAAAAAUAAAUAUGUGUGCUGAAACAAUCGGCAUAAGUUUGGACUUCUUGAAUAUG
ensembl:lncRNA